GAUGAACGCUAGCGGGAGGCCUAACACAUGCAAGCCGAGCGGUAGAGUUUCUUCGGAAACUUGAGAGCGGCGCACGGGUGCGUAACACGUGUGCAACCUACCUUUAUCUGGGGGAUAGCCUUUCGAAAGGAAGAUUAAUACCCCAUAAUAUAAUGAUUGGCAUCAAUUAUUAUUGAAAACUCCGGUGGAUAGAGAUGGGCACGCGCAAGAUUAGAUAGUAGGUGAGGUAACGGCUCACCAAGUCAAUGAUCUUUAGGGGUCCUGAGAGGGAGAUCCCCCACACUGGUACUGAGACACGGACCAGACGCCUACGGGAGGCAGCAGUGAGGAAUAUUGGACAAUGGGUGAGAGCCUGAUCCAGCCAUCCCGCGUGAAGGAUGACGGUCCUAUGGAUUGUAAACUUCUUUUGUACAGGGAUAAACCUACCCUCGUGAGGGUAGCUGAAGGUACUGUACGAAUAAGCACCGGCUAACUCCGUG
rnacentral:rRNA from 1 species